rnacentral:lncRNA from 1 species
AAACAUUGGUUAUUUGAUGUUAAAAUGAACAAUAUAUGCUGUAAGUGGUGCAUUUAACAAAUGUUUUAUUGUGUAAUUAUUAAACAGCACAUAGCAAAUCAGUGAUCGUGGAGAUAGUUGAACUUGCUUUUGCUAAAUUGAUGUGUGAAAUGAUGAAAAAGAGAGGUUACUUGGACAGUAUCUCUUGUAAAGAAUUGGGAAUGAGAAUUAGAUCUUCACAAUUUCGUUUUAUUAAUUCUGUUAAUGGUGGCAUUAAUUUGACAGAGGCUUUGCUUGGAAUGGCACUAGCUAUAAAAUUUUGACUGGCAACAAUGUCUGAAAGUGGGAAUUAACUCAGAGACUUGGUGAGUGAAAAAUAUAGAGAAAAGGGUUUUUGUAUUAUUUACUGAACGUAUUACAAAAGCUUAUAUAAUGUCUACAACUAACUAAAUACAAUAUAAGUAUAUAGCUAUAACUCAAAUACUAAAAAUAAGUAUACAGCUAUAACUCAAAUACUAAAAAUAGAUAAAACUGUUAUAGUUAGUCUUUAUCCUUAAUAUCUACAACUAACUAAAUACAAGAUAAGUAUACAGCUAUAACUCAAAUACUUAAAAAUAGAUAAAACUGUUAUAGUUAGUCUUUAUCCUUAAUACGCCCCCGCAAGAUUGAGGCGCCAUUGGAGACUCCAAUCUUGGUUCUAAAGUAACAAAACUGAGUUCUUCCCAAAGCCUUUGUAAGCACAUCAACAACUUGAUCUUUUGAACUUAUGUGAAGAACCCUUAACUGUCCAGCAUUAAUUUUCUCGCGAACAAAAUGGUAAUCCAGUGCAAGAUGCUUCAUCCUAGUAUGAUAAAUUGGAUUGGCGCAGAAGUAAGUCGCACCAAGAUUAUCACAAUGAAGGACUGGUGGUUGUGAUAUUGGUGCUCCCAAAUCUUGUAAUAAACUUUGAACCCAAAAUACCUCUGCUGCAGCAUUGGCUAAGGCUUUGUACUCAGCCUCUGUAGAAGAUCGUGAGACAGUCUUUUGCCGACUAGAUUUCCAAGAGAUAAUAUUAGAACCAAGAUAUAGAACAUAAGCAGUUGUAGACCGCCCAUUAUCAAGGGCACCACCCCAAUCAGAAUCAGAGAAGGCAGACAGAGUAUGAGUGGAAUUUCGAUUGAGAAAUAAGCCAUAAUGUAUGGUUCCUUUGAGAUAUCGCAAAACACGUUUCAGUGCUUGAAGAUGAGUUUGCGUCGGUGCAUGCAUAAACUGUGACAGCCGAUUCACUGCAAAAGAAACAUCAGGACGCGUAAUUGCCAAAUAUUGAAGAGAUCCAACAAUUUGGCGAUAUACGGUGGAAUCAGUCGAACUAGAACCAUCAUUUAAGAUCAGCUUGUCUCCUGUAGACAUAGGAGUAUUCACCUCUUUAGCUCCAGCCAUGUCAAAUCGGUCUAACAAAUUAGCAAUAUGUCGAUGUUGUGAAAGAAAUAAUCCUGCAGCUGUAGAAAUUACUUCAACCCCCAAAAAAUGAUUUAAUAUUCCCAAAUCUUUGAUAGAGAACUGAGCAGAGAGCUUCUGUACACAGGUAUUCAGAAAAUGAUUGUUAUUACCUGUAAGUACAAUAUCAUCAACAUAUACUAGAAAAUAUGCAGUAAUCCCAUUGGAGGAAAAAAUAAACAAGGACGCAUCAGCAUUUGAUUUGCGAAAAUCAAGUUUGAGCAAAAAAGAAGUAAGUUCAAGAUACCAAGCUCGUGGAGCCUGUUUCAAACCAUAAAGAGACUUCUUCAGUUUGCAAACAUAAUCAGAAAACUCAGGUUGCACAUAUCCUGGAGGUUGCUGCAUGUAGACAUCUUCAUAAAGUGUGCCAUGUAAAAAGGCAUUAUUUACAUCCAAUUGCCUUAACUGCCAUCCUUUAGAAAUUGCAAGAGUAAGAACUACCCGAAUUGUGACCGGUUUUGUAACCGGACUAAAUGUAUCAAAAUAAUCACGCCCAGGUUCCUGAAGAAAUCCUUUGGCAACCAAACGUGCCUUGUACUUAUCAAUAGUACCAUCCGGUUUACGCUUAAUCCGAAACACCCAUUUGCAACUAAUAAGAUGAUGUUUGUCUCUCGGAACCAGCUCCCAAGUUUUAUUUUGCAAAAGAGCAUUGUACUCUGAAUCCAUCGCCUGCCGCCAAAAUGAACUUGCCAGAGCUUGUUUAACUGUUCUUGGCUCGAGUGUAUCCUGUAAAGGAUAUUUAGUUGUAAGAUUAACAAAAGAAGAAUUAAAAUACUUUGAGUUAGGCUUCCUUUGUCGCUGUUGCCGUUGUACAGGAGCUGGAACUGAGUCUUGUGAAACAAUCGGUAGUGGCAAAUCUAAAUCAUCAGUAGAAGAUUCAGUCAUCAAAGGUUCAACUUGUUGAGUCUCAGUACUAAUUAAUGGCAUGGCAGAUUGAUCAGAUUCUGCUGAUAAUGCUGUAAUAGAUUCUGAACCAGUACUCGAAACCAACAAAUCAGAAUCACUUGGAAUAGAAAUUGCCAAUGGAACCGAAGCAACUGCAGUUGGUGCAACAGGUGAUGAAUUUUGUUGUUGUGCCGAACCUGUACAAGAAGCAUCUCGAAAAUAAUCUGUAAAUUGAUGAGAACUAGUGCAAGUUUCAGAUGGAAAAAUAUGCUCAACAAAUUGAACAUGACGAGACAAAUACAAAGGAUUAGCCUUUGGAUCGUAACAUUUGUAUGCAGAUUGAGUUGGAGAAUAUCCAAGAAAAAUACAAGGCAAUGAACGACACUGAAGUUUAGAAUUAUUAUAUGGCCUUAGCCAUGGAAAACAAAGACAACCAAAAGAUUUCAAUCGCUUAAAAUUAUGAGACAUACCAAACAAUCUAGAGAAAUGUGUUUGAAACGAAAUAGCAGACGAAGGCAACCGAUUGAGCAAAUAAACAGCAGCCUGGAAAGCAUGAGACCAAUAAUUAGAAGGUAAAGACGAAAAUUGUAACAUAGCAAGACCUGUUUCAACUAUUGAGCGAUGACGACGUUCAGCAGUACCAUUAUGCUCUGGCGUAUGUGGAGGUGUUGUAUAAUGUGAAAUACCACAAGACAAAAAAUGAUGCUUAAGCUUUUGAUACUCCCCACCAUUAUCAGUAAACACAGAAACAAUUUUAGUGUGAAAAUAAUUUUCAACCAAUUUCUGAAAGUGGAUAAACAAAUCAUGAGUAUCAGAUUUCUUCUUCAUGGGAUAUAGCCAAACAUACUUAGAAUAGUGAUCAAUAAAUGUAACGUAAUACUCAUAGCCAUCAAUAGAUUUUUGUGUAGGACCCCAAACAUCGGAAUAAACAAGUUGCAAAGGCUUAUUACUAACAAGAGAAUUCUCAGAAAACGGUAAUUUAUGACUCUUGUUCAUAGAGCAGGAAGUACAAUGAAAACUAGAAACAUAGUUAGACAUAGACUGAAGACCAAUAUUUCGAAGUACUAACAAAAAGACUUUAUUGUUGGGAUGACCAAGCUUGUGAUGCCAUUCAGAAAGCAAAGACAGACACCGAGUAGUAACAUUCAACUGAGGACAUUGAGAAUUAACUCUGGAAAAACUUGCACAGUAUAUAUCAUCAAUGUUCUCUCCCCGUAGCAGAGACGCCCCCGUGUACAGAUCCUUCACAACAAAAUAAGAUGGAAAAAAUUCCACAGAAACAUGAUUAGUGCGACAUAACUUAGCAAUUGAAACCAAAUUCUUGCGCAGAUUAGGCACACAUAACACAUUAGGCAAUGAUAAAUUCUUAGAGUAAGCAGGAAUUUGCACAAAACCAGUAUGUGAUACAGCAAGCGUUUUAUCAUCACCAAGUUGUACUUCCUCAGGACCUCCAUAGUCAGAAUAGCUUUGCAAAGAAGCUGGAUUCGACACAACAUGAUGAGAAGCUCCGCUAUCAAAUAACCAUUGUUGUGGAGAAGAAGCAGCCAUAGCAGAAGUAACAUUAACUGCAGGUAUCGGUGCUAAAGAAUGAGAGGUAUCAGUCUUCAAAGACAUAUUAUUCUCCUUAAGAAAGCGAGCCAAUUUGCGACAUUCAGCAGUAGUAUGCCCAUUAUAUUCAUAAAAUUGACAUACCACAUCAGGUCGAUAAGAACCUCGACCUCGACCACCAGAGUAAGAACCACGACCACCACGUCGAUUUCCAGAAUAAUUGUAGUUUUGUGGAGAUCGAUUAUAAUUGCCAUUCUGAUUUUGUGAACACCCUCUAGAACGUUGAGUGUAAUUGACAGUAGCAAUCACUUGUGACGUAGCUGAAACAGUUGUGGAAUCUUUUUCUUGUAAGGAUCGUUCAUGAUCAGUAAGUUUUUUCAAAGAGAUCAGAAAAGGUUAUUGGGGUUUCACGAACUUUUAACGCAGCAACUAUGGGACUGUAAUCAUCUCCCAAUCGCGUGAUAAUAUAAACAAUUAAAUCAUCAUCACUCACCGGAUUCUGGGUAAGAGCAAGCUCAUCUGCAAUAGCCCUCAUCUCAUUGAGAAAAACAGCAAUCGGUUUGGUUCCCUUAGAGUUCUGUGCUAAUUUAGUCUUUAAGGACAAAAUUCUAGAACGAGAAACAUUAGCAAAACUCUGGUGAAGCCGAUCCCAUGCUUCUUUGGCAGUAUUGGCUGAAGAAAUCAAGGGUUGAAUAGUAUCGGAACAACUUCCUAAAAGAGCACUGAUCAAGAUUUGAUCUUGUCGAAACCAUAAGGCGAAAGCUGGGUUGGCUGUUUUGUCUUUUUCAGAAAGAAAUUGUGAUGGUGCAACCCGUGAACCAUCAAUAAAAUCAAGUAAAUCAAGACCAAUUAAGGUUGAUUGGAUCUGUUUUCUCCAAACAGGAAAAUUCUCCUGAGUAAGUUUAAUAGGAAAAUGCGUUGGAGCAUUUAAUUGAAUAAUAGUAAUAGAUGACGAAGCCAUUAAUUAAAAUUUAAGAGAAUUGGAUCAGAAAACUCGUGAGAGCAGAUUGCGGCUCUGAUACCAUAUAGAGAAAAUGGUUUUUGUAUUAUUUACUGAAUGUAUUACAAAAACUUAUAUAAUGUCUACAACUAACUAAAUACAAUAUAAGUAUAUAGCUAUAACUCAAAUACUAAAAAUAAGUAUACAGCUAUAACUCAAAUACUAAAAAUAAGUAUACAGCUAUAACUCAAAUACUAAAAAUAGAUAAAACUGUUAUAGUUAGUCUUUAUCCUUAAUAUCUACAACUAACUAAAUACAAGAUAAGUAUACAGUUAUAACUCAAAUACUUAAAAAUAGAUAAAACUGUUAUAGUUAGUCUUUAUCCUUAAUAAAAAAUUCAUAUUGUGGGCGGAGGAUAAAGCUGUAGGAAAUGGGUUUUGAUUAAUUGUGGAAAUAUUGCUAGUUUAAAGGGACGUUUACAUACACACACGGAUAUUGCUGCAUUAUGGGAAUGAGAUAGGAAGUCUCGAUACCUAGAUAAAGGUUCUGAAUAUCUAGUGUACUGGUCAAUCUUUUAGCAUUACUCUGGUAUUAUAAUUCAACAAAUCAAUGGACUCGUUUAUUGUUGUGGGAUUGCAACCGAUAACUUGUAAUGAUAUAUUAUUGGGUUUGCUCAUCUUCCAGAAAAGUUGGUACUCAAUGAAUUAACGUUAGUGAAGGUUAAAAUUAGAACGCUUUUAAAGUUUCUCUAUGCCUGGAAUGAACAAUGCAAACAAAUGUGUUGAAGUUAAAAGGAAUGAUAGAACUGAUAACACUAACCUUUCAAUUGACACAAGCUUUGACUAAUCCUACGCGAAAUGUCUAUCAAUUAAACUCAAACACACUUUAGAAAUAUGCAGAUCAUUCAACAACACAAAGAACCACAUUUAAGAAUAAAGAUAUAAUAGAGUUUAUAGCAUUUGAAACACAAGCAAUCUGUACCGGAGUUUCUCAAGUCCAAAAUAUUAUAAGUGAUAAAAGUGAAAUUUAGCAAAGAAUAUAACGUCUCAAAGAAUAAUAUGAAUUAGGCCUUACAAGAGCUCUGCUCAAGUUUUCUAUUUUGAAAUUCUAAGCUUCUCAUGACAAGAAGAAAGAUGAGGUUAUUAGGAGUUCUGCCAAGGCAUGGUUGAAACCGUUAGUCCAUGCCUUGGUUGGACAAUUAAAGUUGCAUAUCAAAUGAGUUUUAACUAGAUAUAGUAAUAGGUGGUCUGAAGCAUUCUUCUUUAAAUUCUAGCAUCUUAGACAAUUGGUGGGUAAUAGAUGGUAGGUGAAGACUUUCAAAGACCGCUAUAAAUGUAUCUAAAAUACCUCCAUUUUAGCUGCCAUCUCAUCUAUGUGGCAUGUCUUGGCACUCUUCUAAAUGAGCUCCAAUAUAUCUAAAUCUAAUUGGAUUUGUAUGUUCAUAAUUAUAAAGGAC